rnacentral:tRNA from 1 species
CGGAAAUGCUGAUCCCCAACAUUGCCAAGGUUGGGGUCGAGAGUUCGAAUCUCUUCGCCCGCUCCA